GGUGAGUAAUGUCUGGGAAACUGCCUGAUGGAGGGGGAUAACUACUGGAAACGGUAGCUAAUACCGCAUAAUGUCGCAAGACCAAAGAGGGGGACCUUCGGGCCUCUUGCCAUCGGAUGUGCCCAGAUGGGAUUAGCUUGUUGGUGGGGUAACGGCUCACCAAGGCGACGAUCCCUAGCUGGUCUGAGAGGAUGACCAGCCACACUGGAACUGAGACACGGUCCAGACUCCUACGGGAGGCAGCAGUGGGGAAUAUUGCACAAUGGGCGCAAGCCUGAUGCAGCCAUGCCGCGUGUAUGAAGAAGGCCUUCGGGUUGUAAAGUACUUUCAGCGGGGAGGAAGGGAGUAAAGUUAAUACCUUUGCUCAUUGACGUUAUCCGCAGAAGAAGCACCGGCUAACUCCGUGCCAGCAGCCGCGGUAAUACGGAGGGUGCAAGCGUUAAUCGGAAUUACUGGGCGUAAAGCGCACGCAGGCGGUUUGUUAAGUCAGAUGUGAAAUCCCCGGGCUCAACCUGGGAACUGCAUCUGAUACUGGCAAGCUUGAGUCUCGUAGAGGGGGGUAGAAUUCCAGGUGUAGCGGUGAAAUGCGUAGAGAUCUGGAGGAAUACCGGUGGCGAAGGCGGCCCCCUGGACGAAGACUGACGCUCAGGUGCGAAAGCGUGGGGAGCAAACAGGAUUAGAUACCCUGGUAGUCCACGCCGUAAACGAUGUCGACUUGGAGGUUGUGCCCUUGAGGCGUGGCUUCCGGAGCUAACGCGUUAAGUCGACCGCCUGGGGAGUACGGCCGCAAGGUUAAAACUCAAAUGAAUUGACGGGGGCCCGCACAAGCGGUGGAGCAUGUGGUUUAAUUCGAUGCAACGCGAAGAACCUUACCUGGUCUUGACAUCCACGGAAGUUUUCAGAGAUGAGAAUGUGCCUUCGGGAACCGUGAGACAGGUGCUGCAUGGCUGUCGUCAGCUCGUGUUGUGAAAUGUUGGGUUAAGUCCCGCAACGAGCGCAACCCUUAUCCUUUGUUGCCAGCGGUCCGGCCGGGAACUCAAAGGAGACUGCCAGUGAUAAACUGGAGGAAGGUGGGGAUGACGUCAAGUCAUCAUGGCCCUUACGACCAGGGCUACACACGUGCUACAAUGGCGCAUACAAAGAGAAGCGACCUCGCGAGAGCAAGCGGACCUCAUAAAGUGCGUCGUAGUCCGGAUUGGAGUCUGCAACUCGACUCCAUGAAGUCGGAAUCGCUAGUAAUCGUGGAUCAGAAUGCCACGGUGAAUACGUUCCCGGGCCUUGUACACACCGCCCGUCACACCAUGGGAGUGGGUUGCAAAAGAAGUAGGUAGCUUAACCUUCGGGAGGGCGCUUACCACUUUGUGAUUCAUGACUGGGGUGAAGUCGUAACAAGGUAACCGUAGGGGAACCUGCGGUUGGAUCACCUCCUUACCUUAAAGAAGC
rnacentral:rRNA from 1 species